AUUGAACGCUGGCGGCAGGCUUAACACAUGCAAGUCGAACGAGUGGCGGACGGGUGAGUAAUGCUUGGGAAUCUGGCUUAUGGAGGGGGAUAACGACGGGAAACUGUCGCUAAUACCGCGUACCAUAGGAUGAGCCCAAGCGGGAUUAGGUAGUUGGUGGGGUAAUGGCCUACCAAACCGACGAUCUCUAGCUGGUCUGAGAGGAUGACCAGCAACACCGGGACUGAGACAAGGCCCGGACUCCGACGGGAGGCAACGGUGGGGAAUAUUGCGCAGUGGAGGCCACCAGACGCAGCCAUGCCGCGUGAAUGAAGAAAGCCUUCGGGUUGUAAAGGUCUUUCAGUGACGAGGCGUUAAUCACAGAAGAAGCACCGGCUAACGCCGUAAGCGCCGCCGCGGUAAUUC
rnacentral:rRNA from 1 species